rnacentral:rRNA from 1 species
GGGCUACACACGUGCUACAAUGGCAGGUACAGAGGGCUGCGAAGCCGCGAGGUGGAGCGAAUCCCAGAAAACCUGUCUCAGUCCGGAUUGAAGUCUGCAACUCGACUUCAUGAAGGCGGAAUCGCUAGUAACCGCGAAUCAGCAGGUCGCGGUGAAUACGUUCCCGGGCCUU